rnacentral:snRNA from 1 species
GGAUGUGAGGGUGAUCUGGCUGUGACAUUAGUCACCUCACUGGUCACUGGGGCUGAGUCUGCUGAUUUGGCUGCCAGGCAGGUUUUCCCUUCCCCCCUCACCGCUCCACGUUGUGUCCUUUCCAAAAGUGGGUGCUGCGUCCAAGAGGAUGACCUGGGAUAGAGGAGACCCACGCUUCUGUCAAGAAUAUAGGAGCAGCCCUGCUUCCUUGCUAGAAAUUCUAAACAAGAUCUCAAGGUCUGUCUGCAGGAGAUAGUACUUUCGUCAAGCUUCCACGACUCCAGACGCAACCGAAUGAGGUGCUGCAUGUGGCCUCUGCCUUCCUUC